CAUGCAAGUCGAGCGAAGCUUUUCAGUAGUUUACUACAGAAAAUGACUGAGCGGCGAACGGGUGAGUAACGCGUGAGCAAUCUACCUUAGUUACAGGGAUAGCCCGAGGAAACUCGGAUUAAUACCUGAUAUUCUUUAUUUCUCGCAUGAGAAUAAAAGGAAAGGUCAGCCGAACUAAGAUGAGCUCGCGUUCUAUCAGCUAGUUGGUGAGGUAAAAGCUUACCAAGGCUACGACGGAUAGCUGGUCUGAGAGGACGAUCAGCCACACUGGGACUGAGACACGGCCCAGACUCCUACGGGAGGCUGCAGCAGGGAAUAUUGUGCAAUGAACGAAAGCUUGACACAGCGACACCGCGUGUGGGAUGACGGAUCUAGGUUUGUAAACCACUUUCAGGAGGGAAGAAAAUGACGGUACCUCCACAAGAAGCCCCGGCCAACUACGUGCCAGCAGCCGCGGUAAUACGUAGGGGGCGAGCGUUGUCCGGAUUUAUUGGGCGUAAAGAGCUCGUAGGCGGUUCAACAAGUCGGUAGUAAAAGUUCAGGGCUCAACCCUGAAAUGUCUAUCGAUACUGUUGUGACUAGGAUACGGCAGAGGUGAGUGGAAUUCCGAGUGUAGCGGUGAAAUGCGUAGAUAUUCGGAGGAACACCAAUUGCGAAGGCAGCUCACUGGGCCGCUAUCGACG
rnacentral:rRNA from 1 species